AAGAAAAAUAGAAUUAAAUAAAUGAACGUUAUUCAAGAAAACUAAUAAAUCUUUACCCACAAGUAAGUAUUGAUCAAAAUUAUAGGAAACUCUUGUGAGUUGUUCUUUGAGUUUGAUUCUUUGAUUUUUCUUUUUGUAGGUUAUGUUAAAUAAUAAAAUAAAAUUAUCAUCCGACUCACUGUGAAAAAGAAAGGAUUGGAGUUCAAUGUGGUAUCUGGAUUAUGGAUUGUCUCUUGUGUUCGGGGCACUAACUAAUUUUCUGGAUUGUCUACAGGAUUCUUCUUACGGGAAAUUGAACUGUUUGUUCUUCAGAAAUAGGGUCUUGGAUGAUCUCGAAGAAAUAUCAGUAGUUCUCGGAAUAGGUUGUAGGAUGAUUCUCUUUUUAUUUUAAUAUCACAUACAUUGGAGUACACGCCAAAUUUCAACAAUGAGUAAAGUUA